GCAGCGAUGCCGAGUGGUUAAGGUCUCUGACUAGAAGUCAGAUGGGAUCCUCCCGCGUAGGUUCGAAUCCUACUCACUGCG
rnacentral:tRNA from 1 species